CAAUAGCGUAUAUUUAAGUUGCUGCAGUUAAAAAGCUCGUAGUUGGAUUUCGGGUGGGAAUGGCCGGUCCGCCGUUUCGGUGUGCACUUGCUACGCCCACCUUGCUGCCGGGGACGUGCUCUUGAGUUUCGGCUCGGGACACGGAGUCGGCGAGGUUACUUUGAGUAAAUUAGAGUGUUCAAAGCGGGCUUACGCUUGAAUAUAUUAGCAUGGAAUAACACCAUAGGACUCCUGUCCUAUUUCGUUGGUCUCGGGACGGGAGUAAUGAUUAAGAGGAACAGUUGGGGGCAUUCGUAUUUCAUUGUCAGAGGUGAAAUUCUUGGAUUUAUGAAAGACGAACUUCUGCGAAAGCAUUUGCCAAGGAUGUUUUCAUUAA
rnacentral:rRNA from 1 species